UUUUUAUUGAUAAGUAAUAUUCCACUGCAUGAGAAUGUUUAUUCAUUUGUUGAUGGCUUAAUUUACUUUUUAUUGACAAAUAGUAUUCCACUGCAUGAGGAUGUUUAAUCAUUUGUUGAUGGCUUAAUUACUUUUCAGUGAAAGUUAUUAUGUAUAAAGCUGCUGAGAGCAUUGGUCAAGAAGAUUUUGUGUAGACAAAGGCUGAUUUCAUAAAAUGUUUUCCUCAGUUUAAAGCGUUUUUUAGCAUUGGUAGGCUAUUGUUUACAACUUCAUUUUCGUUACAUCCUCAGCAGCAAACAUUGGUGGUCUGACGUGGUCGAUGUGAAAUGGAUCUCAUGUGGCCUCAAUUUGCAUCUUACUCAGUGAAGUUGGACAUCUUUUUUUGGUGCAAAAAGCCGUUAUAUUUAAUGAUGUUCUUUGCUAAACGAAUUCUAUAUUUACAUGUGGCUCAAGUGAUCAGUCCUGCUUUUCCUUUUGGUUUCGGUCUGCUGUAAGGAGUUUGUCCUUCCACCACUACCUCUGCUUCAAAGCCUACACUUGACCUCUAGUACCUGCUUGGCCCCGUUUGGAUUGCUAGACAUUGGUUAAAGGUGUGUUGCAUCGUUAGCCCUCUUUAAAAAUUAGACUGGGUAUCCUUUUUUCUGGUUUGUGAGAACCUUUUUCUUUAGUACUCUAGAAAUGUCUCCUACAGUAAUGGUGUUAGAAAUACUGCUACCAACUUGUGUCUUAUAUUUUCAUUGUUUAGUAUAUUACUUGUAAUUUAUUUUUGAGACAGGGUUUCAAUAGGUAUCCCUAGUUGGACUUGUGCUCUAUAAGUAGACCAGGCUAGCCUCAAAUUCAUAGAGCUGCAUCUGCCACUGCCUCCUGAGAACUAGAGUAAAGGUGUGUAUUACCAGGUCUGACUUUAAUUUUAUGUUUGUAAUGAGCAUGGAAACAGAUUCCUCUGAAUGGAUAAAUAAAGAGGGAAAUCUGUAGUGUAGAUAGAGCAGGAAAUUUAUAGAAUGAGUGCAACUUGGUGUAGUGUAAAAGCAUUUCUUCUUGUGUGUGGUGUGGAGAAUUACUAAGGUGAACUAUUAAGAGAACAUUUUGCCCACUUGAAGGCACCCAGCAACCUUGGUAACAAAAGUAAUCUUGCCCACCCUUCUGUGGCCAGUCGAUACUGAUAACCUAGGACAUCUGGUUAUCAGAAGGAUCAAACGAGAGGCAGUUUCAAACUGGCAUAAAAAGAGAGGGCAGAAGCAGGGCAGUUAUUUCACUUCUUACUAUGGCCUGGGCACUGAGCCUCGUAGAGACAGAUCCUCAAGCCUGCCUCCCGAAAGCAGAAACAUUUAAUGCUUUGCCAUCCUGAGAGCAGAGCUUCGCCUCCUGACUCGAGAGCCGACAGAACGCUUUGCCAUCUCGAGAGCAGAGAACUAAAGCCUUGUCUCCUGAGACUCUGUCACCCGAAAGCAGAGUUCAAGGCCCUGCAUUCCGAGAUAGACUAGCACCAGACCACAGACUGCAGUCAAGAAUUGAUCCAGCACCUGAUACCAGCCUGAGAGCAGGACAUCGAACGCCUUAUCUCCCAAAUGCAGACUAACAGGGUCAAGAGUUGAGCCACGCUGUCAAGCCCCCAGUGCUGUCAGGCAUCCAGCCUAAGGAAAUCCAAAAAGUCCUUUUUAAAGCUGAAGAAUACCAGUUUGACCGAAUGUGAAGCAGGCUGGCAUGUGUGUGGACAGAAGGUCCUGGAGGAUCAACUAGAGCCAGAGGUGAACUUGCCAGUGUUAGAGCAGCAGAUUUAAACAAAAAGCCAAAGGAGCAAGUCAAGUAAGCAUCAGUCCUCCGUGGCCUCUGCAACAGUUCUUGCCACCAGGUUCCUGCCCUGUGUGAGUUCCUCUUCUGACUUCCGUCAGUGAUCUAGUGUGGUGUGGAACUCUGUAAGAUGAAAUAAACCCUUUCCUUCCGAAGUUGCUUUUGGUCAAUGUUUUUGCACAGCAAAAUCUUGACAGUAACAGUCAAGGUUUCAAUUACAUGCUGAAAUAGAGUAAGAGACUUUGAUGGCUGUUCUUGAUUGUCAGCCUGACUAUCUGGAAUCAACUACAACCCAGAAAUGGGGGCACACCUGUGAUCCAGAUUUUGAGGCAGGAUGACACACACCUUUAAUUCAGAUUCUGAGGUGGGAAGGCACAUCUUUAAUCUGGGCCACACCUUCUGCUGGAAGCCUAAGACAUGGAAGAAGUAUGGUUUGUUCCUUCUCCCUUUGCUUGAUUGCCCUCGCCUUAAGAGCAUAUCCAUUCCUUCACUGGCACUGGAGCCUACUCGGGAUUCCAGCAUACAGAAGACCAGCUGAGACACCCAGCCUCAGGGGUGAGUGUGUGUGUGUAUUCAUUCCAUAAAUUCUGUGACUCUAGGGAACCUUGACUAAUACAAAGACGAAAUCAAAAAAGGGACUCCUUUGCCUCUUUCCACCCUCCUGAAACAGUGCACCAAGGUCGGGCACAUUAACAGGUCUUCACCACUCAGGGAACCCUGAAAAGACUUCUGCAAUGCAGUAGGGACAGAGUAUAAAAGGUCCCCCAGUGUAUAUACAUUAAAAACUUGAUCCCCAAUGAUUGCUUAGCAGUGAAGGCUCUGACCUCAUGAAUGGACGAACUAUUUCUUUGAUGACAUCAUCCAUGGAUGGAAUACCGGAAGGUGGAUCUUCCUCUACAGGCAUGCCUCUGGAACUGUUUUUAGCCCUGGCCCUUCCACAUCAGGCAUCCUCUGCUUCCCAACUGCUUCACUGCAUUUUGAUCCUAAUCCUCAAGUUCUGCUUCAUUACCACAGAAAAAACAGCCAAGUGAGCUCAGAGAGAAACUGAGACAAAACAGCAAACCUGCUAUCUUUUUUACUUGAAAGACAUGUUGUCAUAUACUACAGAAGAGAGAAGAGACUAGGAGUGGAGAAAAUGCCCAGUCACAAAGUGUGAAGCCCUCUCCAGCGGGCUUCUGUUGAGCACCAUGCAGGCCUCUCCCAAAGGCCUCCGAGACUACCCCAAACCCCAGUCAUUAGAGAAGAAUUCAGGGAAAUGAACCCAGAAAAUAAAAAUGCUCAUCCUGGUACUUGUUUUGGUGAUUAGCCUCUGUCAAGACUAAUCUUCCGUGGGGGAUUCCAAGUCCAUUAUAGUGAGCAUGAAUGAAACAAAGUGAAAAUAAAUACUGUCCACCUGGGCAAACUCAAAGGUCAAAUAUACAUUAUUACUAACUUUCUAAAAGCAUACAAAAAUUAGGAUAACCAAGAGGUGAAAAGAAUAUGAUUAAUUAAAUAAUACUCCCAUUAUGGCCAUCAUUACAGAGAGGGAAACACCAACAAAAACUGUUAUAGCAAUUGGCAGACUUUAAUAUUUAAGAAAAAUUAAGUUCAUGUACACAUUAAAAAUAUAGGAAAUUUCAUGCAGACAUGAAAUUUCCAAUUCAACUUUCUGGCAACAUUUAGAAUGUGAAUUACAUAUAAAUACCAUAUACUUUACAGUUCUCAAACUUGAUCAUUUCAUACUGUGAUUUCUGCAGCUUCCCUGUAUAUUUUAUAUGCCCUAUCUUGCUCACUGAUCAGAACCUAAAUUUGCAUCACAUCAAAAAGUCAAAAUUUAAAAACAGCAAGCACAUGAUCA